rnacentral:rRNA from 1 species
GACGAACGCUGGCGGCGUGCUUAACACAUGCAAGUCGAGCGGUAAGGCCCCUUCGGGGGUACACGAGCGGCGAACGGGUGAGUAACACGUGAGCAAUCUGCCCUUCACACGGGGAUAACCACCGGAAACGGUGGCUAAUACCCGAUACGACCACUUCAGGCAUCUGAUGGUGGUGGAAAGUUCCGGCGGUGAAGGAUGAGCUCGCGGCCUAUCAGCUUGUUGGUGGGGUAAUGGCCUACCAAGGCAACGACGGGUAGCCGGCCUGAGAGGGUGACCGGCCACACUGGGACUGGGACACGGCCCAGACUCCUACGGGAGGCAGCAGUGGGGAAUAUUGGACAAUGGGCGAAAGCCUGAUCCAGCAACGCCGCGUGAGGGAUGACGGCCUUCGGGUUGUAAACCUCUUUCAGCAGGGACGAAGCGCAAGUGACGGUACCUGCAGAAGAAGCACCGGCCAACUACGUGCCAGCCGCCGCGGUAAUAC